AACAGAGCCUCCUUGAGAGUUAUUCAUCUAGUUGAAGGCUUCCCUUUGUGGUAUUGCUACUUUAUGCUUGCUAGAAAUAUUUAAUCAUCAAUUAACUAUCUUGUGUUUAUCUCAAAAUAUGAUGGGCAGUUUGCUAUGAGGGAUUUUAUCUGCAUUACUAGUUGAUAAUCACACUUUGGAAGGUGAAAAGACCUUCAUUUAAUAGAGGAUCAUAUUUUUGAUCGGAUACCGAAUUUUGUUUACCACUUUGUCAGGCUAUGCACUUCAAUUUGGCAUUGGGUUAUCAUUUCUAAUUCAAAUUCCAUUCCAAUUGUUACCAUUUCCGAAUAGUGCAUAGCAAUGACACACAACGUUUGGAAAUUUCAAAAUCUUAUGUACAGGAUGCCAUGAAUUUAAACAAUGUACUAAUAUUUAUUAUGUAUUACCUAUCUUUCCGCCCUUGGAUUCAUGUUGUGGUUGUUCAAAAAUACCCCAUUAUGAUUCAAUUCAUACUGUGCAACAUGAAAGAAUAAUGAAACUUGAAGCUUCUGCCAAGGCAGGACAUGGAUCCUUUCUACUCUUGAUAGCCAGUUAUAAUAUUUGAAUCUAUAUUCUGUUAUUUAUAGUCAUUGGCAUUGGUGUUUAGUCCCUUGACUUCUAUAGUAGUCCAUGGUGACAUGAUGAAAAAGGAAAUGGAGGCAAGUGCUCUGCUGGGGUCCAUGGCUUUGCAGUGAAGCUUAAUGUGGUAAUACCAUUCAGAUCAAGAUUUUGUUUUCUAGUUUUCUUUCGUACUUCGUUUUACUGGGGUUAUGUGUUCACAUCCACUGUUGACAAUUUGGAGAAAUUUAUGAGGUUAUGCAUUUUAGACUACAUUUGAACAUAUGAAUUUCAAUAUUUUCAUCUGGGAAGUUAUUUUCCUUAGUCUCCAGUCUCCACUGUAGUUUCCAAUAAGAUGUUUUAUAUUUUGUGGUUUAUGGAUUAUUGCACUUGGAAAUAUUUUUUGCUUCUUGGAACCUAUCCACAUUGUAGUAGUUUUGGGUAGAUGAUUAUAUUAUGUGUUUGAUAUACUUCCUGUUUUUUGUUUCUAAAGAUAUAAGACAUAAGGUAAAUCCAUACUUUUCAUAUAAAAAUUAUGAUAUUUCAUGUUAAAGUUACUACAAUUUUUUAUUUAUUUUUAAAGAUAGAAGCUUACAUGUUAUCCUUGUAAUGUUGUUACUAUUUUUCAGUUUUAAUCUCUAGUAGUGUUUUUCUUGCUAUUUUGUAGUCUUACCAUUUGAUUUUUUUUUGCUCAAAAUCUCUCCAAAUUUCUUCUUGGUUGACUGAAAAACAUGAUGAGCCUAUGUUUUGCAACGAAUUUCCAUCUAUGGUCACUAUUUUCCUCACCUCCCUUGAAUCCAUUUCAGAAGUUUGUGCAUGUCCAUGGAAGAUUCCACAAAGACCCUUGAAAUUAAAUGUGAAUUUUUUUUAAUUUUUAAAAAAUAAAAGGUACAAAAAAAAUUUCCUUAUUGACUAAACAAGAAGAAAAUUAGCAUAACACACUUAAAAAUCUUCUUUGUCAUCCAUAUGUAGAGAUGUAAGAGAAAUUCAAGUGUUAUAAUAUCAUUAUUGGAAGUGAUUACAUCAGUUAAGAAAAAAAAAAAAAGAUGGAAGGAGCAGCAUUGGGUCAAAGGCUUACAAUAAGAAGAAAGCAUGAGCCUAUCUGUUAAGCAUUGGUAAGAUUUGUGUUGGGCCACUUGAAAGCUAAUGUUUGAGAUAAAAAAAACCUAUAGGUAUAGAGCUGAUUGGAAGGGAUUCACUUAUUAAUGUCAUUCAAAAUAUGAUUCUCUUUCUUGUGUUUAUCUAUUCUAAGCAGAAGAUUUUCUAGCAUUAAACUUUGCUCUGUGACAAAAGAAUGCCAUUCAACCAUACUAAUUAAACUAUCUUGAAAUUAGGAAUUUGUUAUUUAUAUAAAAACUGAAACAAUUGUUCUUUGAAUUAGGUGGCAAGAAAAAAAAAACACAAUUGUAAUGCUUUCUUAAAGAGGAAAACAUAAGCUAGGUGUUCCAGAAUGUGACAAAAAUCACAAGGUAAAAUUCCCAUUUCAAUGUUGAUUCCCAACACCUAAAAAAAUGCAUAAAACAGGAAACAUAAUGGAAUUCUUUCUAAUUUUCUUUUACUUGUUCUUUAUCUAGUCUCUUAUGGAUGGAUUUCUUUAGAUAUAUGAGAUUUGGGAUUAAGAGAUAGGUUGGAGCCCUAUUUAAGUUUCAGUUUUUUGAGAAACUAUCACAAUUUGGAGAUCUACAACCAUUUUGUCCUUACAUUUUUCUUGUUAAACAUUGCAAUAAUCUAUUUUGAAUUUUGCCAAAAGACCUAUAAUUGAUGUGAAUGUUUAUUAGAAUAUGUGUGGUGUUGUUGAGAUUGCUUCUAUUCUCUUUAUAUAUAUAAAAAAAUAAUUGGUAUUUUUUCUAUGGUGGUGAAGAAGCAUAAGAAUAAGGGGCUUGAAUCACUUGUAUCCUAUAAUAAAUAGUUUGGACUAAAUGAAGAAAAAUUCUGGUAUUUGACCCAUAGCCUCAUGCUGGUAUUUGACCUUUAGGAAAACACUUCAAUGAAUCCCAUUUAUCAAGCCCAAGAUGCAGAUAAAAAUUCUGGUAUUUGACCCAUAGCCUCAUGAUUCCAAUGCAUGGACCAUGCUCUAAUUAAACAUUUAUUGCCUUUGCCUCCUGUAGGUCUCAAGGUGUAUUAGGUUUUCUACUCCUUCAGUGGAGCUUAUGAAGUUCUAAGACUGCUGCAGAAGGCUUGAUCUCGAAUUCAGGUGAUGCACUCCCACUUCUCCAAUGUUAAUGAAGAUUAUAUCUAAAGUAUAAUAUAUGUGAGUGACCUUAUUAGUAUAUAUAGAUGGAAUCUUGUGAUGUGUUACCUUAUUGGUAGUGCUGAUUUUUCUA
rnacentral:lncRNA from 1 species